rnacentral:rRNA from 1 species
GGCAAGGGAUGCCCUAGUAACGGCGAGUGAACAGGCAAGAGCUCAGAUUUGAAAGGCACUUUUGUGCCGUUGUAUUCUGAAGUUAGGGUCCUGAGAAACGAUGCUUAAGUCUUCUGGAAAGGAGCGCCAUGGAGGGUGAUAGCCCCGUCUAGCAUUGACCUCAUAUAGGAUCUUAACAUGGAGUCGAGUUGUUUGGGAAUGCAGCUCAAAUGGGUGGUAUGCUCCAUCUAAAGCUAAAUAUCUGCGAGAGACCGAUAGUAAACAAGUACUGUGAGGGAAAGAUGAAAAGAACUUUGAAAAGAGAGUGAAAAAGUACGUGAAAUUGUUGAAAUGGAAGGGUAGGCCGCUAACCAUGUAGAGCCGUGUUUGGGGGGAAGAUAAAUGCUGUAGAAUGUAGCUCCUCGGAGUAUUAUAGAUGCAGUUCAUAUUCCCACCCGAGCGCGAGGAUCUCAGGUUCUACUAAAUGGUGGUCUACCACCCGUCUUGAAACACGGACCAACAAG